GUGUUCACUUCAGCAGCACAUAUACUAAAACUGGAACAAUACAGAGAUUAGCAUGGCCCAUGUACAAGGAUGACAUUCAAAUUUGUUGUGUUCCAUAUUUAA